UGUUAAAUACAGGAAUAUUCUAAACUAUAUUAAAAGUGGCAUGUAUAAAUGUAUACCCUACCGCAUCGACCGUUUAUUAUGUAAGAUAAGGAAGUUUCGGAACAAAGUUUUGUUUGCUUACAGAUGAAAGGACUCGUGCUAUUUCAUUACUUCUUUCCUUUUGUCAAAAUAUAAGCAAUAGUACGAUCUAGACCAACUAAUUACUCUUGUCUCUUCGAUUUAUUUUUUAUUUUUUAAAAUCCAGCAACGAGUUACAAAAUUUUCCCGGCUUCACCACGAAAGUUUGCAACAUGCUCUUUUGUUGGACUCCAUUCGCCGAAAUGUUAUGCCGCUUCAAGUUUUUCCCCACCUUUUUUGGAGAAGAUUUCCUAGGACACGUUUCAUUAUUAUUAUUAUUACUAUCAAUAGAUAUCCCCGUCAAGUAUGACUGAAUGCUUUUUUGAGAAAGUAUAAAUUGAAGGAUAAAAAAUCUAACUUGAUUGACAAGAAAAAAGGACUAAUCUGGAAAGAAGACAAAUCCAGUUUAUAUUCUGGAACAGUUUUGGCUAAAUAUGUAAAUAUUGACUUAAGUGAUCGAAUAAAGGACAGAUAUUCUGCGAGAAUUUAUUAUAUUCUUAAUAUACAAUAUCUUAUUUAAUUACUGUUUUUAGUGGU